UCUCCAGGCAGUUUAUGGAGGGGAGGGCGGGAGGACUGGCUGGAAGUAAGUCUGGCUGAAUGCAGCACAGACCCCCUCUCCCCAUCAGCCUCCUCGCUGCUUGGAGCCUGUAAAAGCAGCAGCCAAGAGAAUGGGAACUGUGGGGGACGAAUGAAUGCAAGCUGGCAGAAGGGAAGAAGCCUCAGGCAGGCACUGGGGGCUCCUGAAGACAGAGGGGCAUGCUGGCAGGGAGGGGCUUGGCCCAGCCUCCAGGCGAAUUUGGGGGUAAAGAAAACUGCUUAGUUCUGGCACCUCAGCCUAGGUGGCCCCCUGCUCCCCCGCCCUUUUGUAGCAGGCCUGGCCUGGGCUGAAAAGCAGAUCUGGGUUUGAAUCUCCCUUCUCCAGGGACCUGUGGGUGACACAGGCUUGGUGCCUUCUCUUUGAGCUUCAAGUUCUCACUUGGACAAGAUGGCCUGGCUCCUCCCAGCCCGGAUCUGGGGAUGCUCCAGUGCAGCCUGGGAGACCAGUCUGAUCGUGGCGGCCUGGAAAUCAAGGCUAAGCAAAAGCAAACCUGAAAGAGCUGCCCUCUAAGUGCCACAGCAGGACUUGCUUCUGAAUGGAGAUGGGGCUGGGGCAGGAGGGUGGCAGGGAGGGGCUGAGCCCUGUGACCAUCACCUUCAGGUUGGAGGAACACAGGCACACUCACCCACAUACACCCAAACACAAGCCACAGAGUCCAAGGAAAAACCUGUUUCUGUCCAUGUCAUCCAGCACCGAACCAGGGAUCCCAUGCAAAGAUGGGACCUGGCCGGGAGCAGUGGCUCACUCCUGUAAUCCCAGCACAUUGGGAGGCCAAGAUGGAAGGACCACUCGACGUCAGGAGGUCGAGACCAGCCUGUCCAACAUGGUGAAACAUUUCUCCACUAAAAAUACAAAAAGUAACUGGGCACGGUGGUGCAUGCCUGUAAUCCCAGCUAAUCGGGAGGCUGAGGCAAAAGAAUCACUUGAACCCAGGAGGCGGAGGUUGCAGUCAGCCGAGAUUGCACCACUGCACUCCAGCCUGGGUGACAGAGUGAGACUCCAUCUCAAAAAAAAAAAAAGGAUGGGUCCUGAUAAAGCUCCUAGCAGGAUCCCUCCUGCUGACAGAGCACAGCAGGAGCAUCCCCAUGGGUGAUGGGGCCCAGCUUUCCUGUGUCACUCAUGAGCCUCUAGAGCAGCAUCACAUCUGCUGCAGAUCAUCCCAUAGUGGCUUCCAAGCAGGGCGUUGUCACUGAGAGAGGCCCUGGUCUCAGCAUCUUCGGAGAAGCCCCAGAUUGGUAAGUGUCUUGCUCUGAGUCAUGGCUCGGAGUCCCCAUGGCAGGGAGGAGUCCCUAUCAGCAUGGUAGAUUUCAUAAACUCCAAAUGAGGGCAUGAGAUCUGAAAAAGAAUUUGGGGGAUUUGUGAUAAGAUUUGACAGCAUACAAAUAAGGAACCUUACUUGGUCAGGACUAACCAGCUGCAUGUCUUGACAAGAAUAGCCGAGAUGAAAUCAAAUGUGGGCGGGAGGGUCCUGAACACACGUGGGGUCACUGGGGUGGCUUGGCCCUGGGCUACCCCCUUCCCCCUCACCACCCAACUCCAUCAGAGCCUUCUAGAGGAAGCGUUCUCCCCUCUGGCGGUUUGGUGGGACACGGCCUCGACAGGGGCUGCUGUAAUCGUGCAGGUGGGAAGUGACGGAGAAGUGGUGAGAGGUGGGUGGGCUCUGGAAGAAACUGGAAUCCUACUGACAGGCUGCCCCGGCAGAUGGGAAGUGGGUCAGGAAGGCUUCAGGACGGCACUCCAAGGUUUCGGCCAGAGCGGAUGAAGGGGUGGGGUUGCCACUGUAUGCGGGAGGGAAUGUGUUCUGUUGUAUGUUUAAUUCACUACUUUGAUGUGAAAAGUCCAAAUAUGACUAUGUCUGGAACUGAGCAGGGCAUCCGUGGGACCACAGCCCACAGGGGCUUAUGGCACCCCCCAACCCCGCCCUAGGAGGCCUCAGAGGCCCCGGUGGAGAAAGAGAGAGGCUCACCCUCCUGCCGUGUUGUGUGUGUAAGAGGCGGGCAGAGUGAAAAGGUUUGGCCCACCUGAGUCCCCUGGGCUGGCAGAAGACCUGGGGCCAGGCAGGGGGAGGUGUUGGAACAGGAUGGUGGUGUGUGGGCCUCUGUCUGCACAGACCCACCAUAGCCCACAGAGGCUCUUUCUCCUCAGAGUGGGUGUGCAUUACCAGAACCUUCUAGAGGAAGUGUUUUCUGAGCUCAGGGCGGCUCUUUGAUUCUCCAGGCCACAAACCCCCGCAGGCCCGGCCUGGCCAGAGGCGUGUGUGUGCAUCCCGGCAAGUGAGGCCCGGGGACUCACGGCCAGAGAGGCUGUGAGGGUGGCUUUGUGUGGCUGCAUGUCACCCUCAGCCAAGUGCCGCUGCCAGGAGAGGCAGCUCAGCUGCCAAACCUCCUGAAGCCAGGUUGCCUGAGGAAGCAGCCCUGUCCCCUCGCCUGCUUCUCACUGCCUCACCCGCCUUGGGCCUGCCUGAUCCUGGGGGUCACAUGCCUUGUUCCCCAUCAGUGGAAACCAGAGAUAAGAAGACAAGAAUGUGGGAAGAGUCGGGAGACCCAUUUGGGAAAAUACAGGUUCCAGGUGUUUCUCCAGACCUCGAGAGUCAGUGUCUCCUGGGAGAGGCCCUGGAACUGCCUUUUGACAGAGCUCCCUGGUGAUCUGAUGAGCUUCGGGGAGACCUGGCCUGUCUGCACUUGAGGAGAUGGGACACAUAGGACAAGCUGCAGGCGGGUGAGGAGGUUCACGUUCUACUUCGAAAGACCAGUUUCUUCCUCGAGUACCUGAUCUUGAAAAUGACCUCCGCUUUCAGGAUAGAGCCCUAGAGUGGGCUUAUGAAGUGAAGGGAUGUGAACGCCUGCAAAGUUCCUGAUGUCUGGGAGCAAUGUCCUUUGGACAACCUGUGUUGCCGCAGUCCUCUCUUACCUGCCGGGGACGUGUCCCAUGCCCCCCAGUGGGUGUCUGAAAUUGCGUGGAAACCAUUUCCUCCUCGUCAUGGCACAGGUCCAGAGCUGCGCCCAUCUCUCCCACGUCAACAGUCCUGUGUCCUUGGCGGAGGACGGUUCUCUCAUUCAGUGCCCUCCUCUCUUCCUCGGCCAAAUCCCUGCUCUGCACCUCCCUGCAGCUCAUAAAAAGCCGAAUUACCUGAGGUGGGAAAGCCUCACCCGCCGUCAUUCUCAGGGAGGAGUGGACUCUGCAGAGGCCGCGCUUGCCCCAGUGCACAGCUUCCUUUCACCUCCUCUCUCAUUUUCCCAGACAGCUCUGUUUCAGUGUUCCAGGCCCGGGGCUGUCCCUGGGCCGAGGUGGAAUCCACCCCGACCACCUCCCAAAGCCAAGAGCCCUGGGUGAGCAUGCAGAGAAGCAAGAGCUGUUCCUGAUGCAAAGCAGGCACCCCCACCCCCACCACCCCCGGUCGGGGGAUGAACUGAUUUGGGACAAAAGGCAGUCAUUGGCUGAGGAAGGCAGCAUCUGGGGGAGCCCUGUGCUGAGUGGAGGUGGGUGGGUGUAUUUCCUUGGCUCGCAGAGGCCUCUUGUCUGGUGGGAUCAGCUCCUCUAGCCAGUUGCCACCUGGUCCAGCUUUGGGAGAUGUGGAGAAUGAAUUUCACAGUGAUUUCCACUGGGCCAUGGCACUGGAACAGCUGCAGGAGGGGACACAGCUGGUGCCACCCCCACUCCAUCCAUUAGAGCUGCUGUGAAGGAAUGCCACCCUCCCCAUGGGGAGUGAGGGACGCUACUUGCUGUGGUUGGUUCCAGGGACCAUGGGAAGAGGGGAACCCCUAUUUUCAAGGGUACAGGUUGACUUUUAUUAAAAUAGAAUUUCAUCAUCAUUUCUUCCAGUGGCUCCCAAACUUGGCUAAACAUCAGGAUCACCUGGGAUGCUUAUUAAAAAAUAAGGAUUACGGCCAGGUGCAGUGGCUCACGCCUGGAAUCCCAGCACUUUGAGAGGCUCAGGCAGGCAGAUCACUUGAGGUCAGGAGUUCAAGAACAGCCUGCCCAACAUGGUGAAACCCCAUCUCUACUAAAAAUACAAAAAUUUGCCAGGCACAGUGGUGCACAACUGUAAUCUCAGCUACUUGGGAGGCAGAGGCAGGAGAAUCACUUGAACCUAAGAGGUGGUGGUUGCAGUGAGCUGAGAUAGUGCCACUGCACUCCAGCCUGGGUGACAGAGUGAGACUCUGUCUCAGAAAAAAAAAAAGAUUAAUAAAAACAAAGAGUUUUAGAACCCAUCCCAGACCAAAUCAAUCAGAAUCUCUUUGGGUAGGCUUGGGCUGGAAUCAGUGUGAAUCCGUUUAAUCAGAUCGCUUUCCUGAUUCCAGAAGGGUGAUCCCAUAGAACAGGAGUGAGAAGAUGGAAGGGUGGGGGGCUGGAACGACGAAAGCUUGUGCUUGCACCACUAUUCAUCUGAGAGCGCCGGGGGCCAGCUGCGGAACUACAGACUCCUCAUACAUCAUCGUCUGGAGUCUUCAAAACAAACCUAUGAGGUGUGCCCAAUUUUUUCCAUUUUGCCGGUGAGAAAAUGGGAGCGCAACGUGGCCACACACACAGCUAAUAAGAGGCAGAGCCAGGACUCAGGUCCAGAUCUUUCUCUUGACUCCUCUGCCGUGGAAGGGAUCAUGAGAAAGCCUGGCCCCACCUCUGGAGUCAGGUCAGCACAUGACCCAACUGUCAUACUGGCACAAGCUGCCUUCUGGACACUUCCCUGGUGGGCUCUGUCUGUCUCAGGGCUUCAGCUACUCCCUGCUCACUCCGCUCACAUCAGUCACUGGGUAGCUGGGGACACAGAGGUGGUUGAGACGUGGCCAUCAUCAAGGCAGGGGGUUCAUGGAAAGGGCAUGGGCUGGAACCAGAAGAGAGGGCUUCUGGUCUCUGGGGGUCCAUCCACCCUUAAAAAGCAGAAUCUGAUCACUGACUGCCUGGCACCCCCACUCCAGCACGUAGCCUUGCUGACACCUCUGCCCUGCAAGGUUGAUGGGCUGUGGCUUCUUGCCUCUUUGGCUCCUUCCAGCACCCAGGAGUCUCUGGUAUAUAGUAGGUACUCAGUGGGGCGACUCGUCAGGGAUAAUCAGCAAUUAUGUGUUAAGCACCUAUUGAUAGCCCCAGGCACUGGACUAAAAUACUAGGAAUUCAGAGAGGGCCCUAUCUCCAUAAGUUUGUAGCCUCCUAGGGGAGAAAGUUGGAAAACUCCAUGAAUCAAUUAUAAUUGUGGUCAGUGCUAGGAAGAAAAAUAAUAGGAUGGUUUAAGAAUGUGGUUGGGAGGAGUUCUAAUUUAGAUGGAGGCAUUAGAAACAUGGAACCUGAGACCUGAAGGAUGAACAAGAGCCAUAUGGAAACUGGAGAUGAGGUAGGAGUGGGGACAGCGCUUCUUGUGAUGAGAGCAGCAGGUGCAAAGGCCCUGCAGUGGGGGGCGGGGGGACGGACGCCAGGGACCCCACCGAGGGCCAGUGGGGCUGCAGGGAAUGAGCAAGCAGGAGGGGAUCAGGAGCAGCAGCUCACAUUCAAGAUGGCCAAGGUCAGACCAUCAGGGUCUUGGGUUUGUUUUUGUUUUUCUGAGUGUGAUUUUGGCUCACUGCAACUUCCACCUCCUGGGUUCAAGCCUCAGCCUUCCAGGUAGCUGGGAUUAUAGGUACCUGCCACCAUGCCCGGCUAAUUUUUAUAUUUUUAAUAGAGGCAGGGUUUCUCCAUGUUGGCCAGGCUGGUCUCGAACUCCUGACCUCAACUUAUCCACCCACCUCAGCCUCCCAAAGUGGUGAGAUUACAGGCGUGAGCCACCGUGCCCUGCCGGCCAUCAGAGUUUUGUAGCAAGAAUUUUGACCUUUGUCCUUAGGGCAAUGGGAAAUCCUUGAAAUGCUGUUAUUGCCUUCCUCUGCAAGGAAAGGUUAUUUUGGUAGGCAGUGGAUAGAGGAAAUGCAGAGGGAGCCACGAAAGGGGGUUCUGGUAAGAUCUGGAGCCCUCCUGGGAUAAUCCGACCAGAGAAAGCAAGGAUUCCAGAGAGCUAGGUACACUUGCCCAGCCUCCAGCUGCACACCGCUGGUUCCAGGUGUGUCCUGACCUGUGGUCUGGCAUACAGGGUAGACCCAGUGGUACCUCGUACCUCACUCUGGGGCGAGGAGACCACCCACCUAGGUCUGGGCCCUGCAGCAGCUUGGCAGCAGCAUCUGAGUGUUAAGAGAAGGCAAACUGACCUGCUCCCAGCGGCAAGAAGCUUCGAUUCUUCACUAUCAUAAAGUCUUCCCUCCUGUCUUGGGUCCUCCUGUUUGUUGCUGGAGAGGUGAGGCAGGGAGGGCAUCCUCUGGGAGGGCAGGCUUAGCAGAGCCCAGCACCAUCUCAGCGGACAUGGCCCUUCUACUCUCAGCGCCUCCAAGCCAGUGAGUGGAUUUCUCUUGUCUAGAGGAUAUAAUCUGUUCCUCACCUGGACACAACGAACCUGUCUGUGGGAUUCAGGGAGCAUCAGGGAGGGAAUUUAGUUUUUGCAGACUUCAGGGAAGACUUCCUGGAGGAGGUGAUGCCUGAGAGCUAUCCAAGAGAGAAGAGUGAAAAAAUAUUAAGCAGUGGGAAAAGCAUGGACCAAACUGUGGCUGCAUCUUCCCAUAAGUAUGUGCAGGUUGACUCAGCAUUUUAGUGUUUCUGGGCAUAAAGCACUGUACCAUCUGCCCCAGGAAGCCCUCCUGCCAUAGAAGCAGCCUCACAUGGCUUCCAAAGGACUCCUAGGCACUUCAGGGACCAGUGCCUCACACACUGCUGGGGUGGCUUGAGCUCUUGGGAUUAAAGCCAAUGUGGAUUAUUGUCAGGAGUGUUUCAUAGCCCUGCCUCUCUCAUUCAGAGAUUUCCACUCCCUACCCAGCAUCCUUGAGUAGGGUCUGGGAUUCUUCUCCCCACCUCACAGGUGGGCAGAGGAGGACUCUGCCUUAGGGACGGUUGUAAUUAAGAUCCUAAACUAAGUUGCACAGAUAGAGGAAGCUCCUUCCGCUCGGCCUGCAAGCUGAGGGCCCCGGGUCAGGGCAUCAGACUCCUGGUGCUGCCUGCAGAGUAGACAGGGCCUCCUUCUGAUGAGACCCAGGACUCCACACUGAGGAGAGAGAGGAGGGGCUGUGCCCAUUUGAUCGGACGUCCCAUAAGGCAAGAGACUUUUGCUUUAACAUCAGGGCUGGAAGAGGCCCAGGGAGACUGUCCCUUGAAGCUGUGGGUGACAAAUUGAGGCCCUGAGAGGGACACUUGCUAUGGGAGGAUGAACAAUGGCCCCAAACGUGUUCACAUUCUUAUCCCCAGAGUCUUCGAAUAUGUUACCUUAACAUGGCAACAGAGGGCUGGACGCAGUGGCUUAUGCCUGUAAUCCCAGCACUUUGGGAGGCUGAGGAGGACUGAUCACAAUGUCAGGAGUUCGAGACCAUCCUGGCCAACGUGAAACCCCGUCUCUACUAAAAAUACAAGAAUUAGCUGGAUGUGGUGGCAUGUGCCUGUAAUCCCAGCUACUCGAGAGGCUGAGGCAGGAGAAUUGCUUGAACCCAGGAGGUGGAGGCUGCAGUGAGCUGAGAUCGCGCCAUUGCACUCUGGCCUAGGCAACAAGAGUGAAACUGUCUCAAAAACAAAACAAAACAAACAAAAACAACCCAGAGCAAAACAAAACAUGGCAGCGGGGACUCAGCGGAUGCAACGAAGAGUCUCAAGAUGGGGAUAACCCAGGUGUGCCCAAUCUAAUCUCAGUGUCCUUGGAAGAGGGGUGCAGAAGGAGUCAGAAUCAGAGAAGAAGGGGACAGCGUGAAGGAAGGAGAAAUGAGAGUGAUGCUCUUUGAAGAUGGAGGAAGAAGCCCCAGCUGAGAAACAGAGGUGGCCACUGGCCACUGAAAAGGUGAGAAAACAGCUUCUCCCCUGGAACCUCCAGAAGGAAGCGGCCCUGCGCACACCUUGACAUCAGCACAGUGAGACUGCUUUUGGGCUGCUGGCCUCCAGAAUUGUAAGAGAAUAAAUGCGUGUUGUU